rnacentral:rRNA from 1 species
UACGUAGGGUCCGAGCGUUGUCCGGAAUUAUUGGGCGUAAAGGGCUCGUAGGCGGUUUGUCGCGUCGGGAGUGAAAACAGCGGGCUUAACUCGUUGCUUGCUUUCGAUACGGGCAGACUAGAGGUAUGCAGGGGAGAAUGGAAUUCCUGGUGUAGCGGUGAAAUGCGCAGAUAUCAGGAGGAACACCGGUGGCGAAGGCGGUUCUCUGGGCAUUACCUGACGCUGAGGAGCGAAAGUGUGGGGAGCGAACAGG